rnacentral:tRNA from 1 species
GGAGAGGUGACCGAGUGGUUGAAGGUGCACGACUGGAACUCGUGUGUGGGGCAACUCACCGGGGGUUCGAAUCCCCCUCUCUCCGCCA